rnacentral:lncRNA from 1 species
CGUUGCCAUUGAAUCGUGCAAGAACUGUUACAACUGACAGUGACAUUUGAUGGAGGCAUGAGUUUUUCGAUCUUAUAUAGUUGAAUAUACGUGUCGUAGAACUGGAUCAGGGAGUUUUUGCUAGACCCAUUCACCAAAAAGUAAGAUUUCUCUAUCUUCACGUUUUUGAAUGUACAUCCCACAUGUCUUCCAUUUUCAUCUUUAAUGUAGAGCUCACAUUCCAU